rnacentral:rRNA from 1 species
UACGAAGGGGGGCUAGCGUUGUUCGGAAUUACUGGGCGUAAAGCGUGCGCAGGCGGCUUCUCAAGUCAGGGGGUGAAAGCCCAGAGCUCAACUCUGGAAUUGCCUUUGAGACUGAGUGGCUUGAGUACGAGAGAGGUGAGUGGAAUUCCCAGUGUAGAGGUGAAAAUUCGUAGAUAUUGGGAAGAAACACCAGUGGCGAAGGCGGCUAUCUGGACCGUAACUGACGCUGAGGCGCGAAAAGCGUGGGGGAGCAAACAGG